UACGUAGGGUGCAAGCGUUGUCCGGAAUUAUUGGGCGUAAAGAGCGUGUAGGCGGCCCGAUUAGUCCGCUGUGAAAGUCCAGGGCUCAACCCUGGAAUGCCGGUGGAUACUGUCGGGCUAGAGUCCGGAAGGGGCGAGUGGAAUUCCUGGUGUAGCGGUGAAAUGCGCAGAUAUCGAGGAGGAACACCAAUGGCGAAGGCAGCUCGCUGGGACGUGACUGACGCUGAGAACGCGGAAAGCGUGGGGAGCAAACAAGG
rnacentral:rRNA from 1 species